rnacentral:rRNA from 1 species
UACGUAGGGUGCGAGCGUUAAUCGGAAUUACUGGGCGUAAAGCGUGCGCAGGCGGUUUUGUAAGCCAGAUGUGAAAUCCCCGGGCUCAACCUGGGAACUGCCUUUGUGACUGCAUAGCUAGAGUACGGUAGAGGGGGAUGGAAUUCCGCGUGUAGCAGUGAAAUGCGUAGAUAUGCGGAGGAACACCGAUGGCGAAGGCAAUCCCCUGGACCUGUACUGACGCUCAUGCACGAAAGCGUGGGGAGCAAACAGG